rnacentral:rRNA from 1 species
GUGGGGAAUAUUGGACAAUGGGCGAAAGCCUGAUCCAGCCAUGCCGCGUGUGUGAAGAAGGUCUUCGGAUUGUAAAGCACUUUAAGUUGGGAGGAAGGGCAGUAAGGUAAUACCUUGCUGUUUUGACGUUACCGACAGAAUAAGCACCGGCUAACUUCGUGCCAGCAGCCGCGGUAAUACGAAGGGUGCAAGCGUUAAUCGGAAUUGCUGGGGGUAAAGCGCGCGUAGGUGGUUUUGUAAGUUGGAGGUGAAAUCCCCGGGCUCAACCUGGGAACUGCCUCCAAAACUGCAUGACUAGAGUACGGUAGAGGGUAGUGGAAUUUCCUGUGUAGCGGUGAAAUGCGUAGAUAUAGGAAGGAACACCAGUGGCGAAGGCGACUACCUGGACUGAUACUGACACUGAGGUGCGAAAGCGUGGGGAGCAAACAGGAUUAGAUACCCCAGUAGUCC